UGCCAGUAGUCAUAUGCUUGUCUCAAAGAUUAAGCCAUGCAUGUCUAAGUAUAAGCUUGUAUACGGUGAGACUGCGAAUGGCUCAUUAAAACAGUUAUAGUUUAUUUGCUGAACGUGUAUAUGGAUAACCGUAGCAAUUCUAGAGCUAAUACAUGCUGGUUGCGCUGCUCUGCAGCGUAGUAUUUAUUAGAUAAAAUGCCAUUGGCGCGAGCCAUGGAGGAAUCACAGUAACUUGUCGGACUUUUCGAAGUGAAGCAUUCAAGUUUCUGCCCUAUCAGCUUUCGAUGGUAGUGUAUUGGACUACCAUGGCGAUGACGGGUGACGGAGAAUUAGGGUUCGAUUCCGGAGAGGGAGCCUGAGAAAUGGCUACCACAUCUAAGGAAGGCAGCAGGCGCGCAAAUUACCCAAUCCUGACUCAGGGAGGUAGUGACAAGAAAUAACAACUCGGGGCUAUGUCUCGAGAUUGGAAUGAGAACAAUGCAAAAGCCUUAGCGAGGACCCAUUGGAGGACAAGUCUGGU
rnacentral:rRNA from 1 species